UCUUGAUGAAAAAUAUGCAAACAUCAAAUAAAUUCGAGAGCGUGCGUUAAGGGCCAGAAGUUGAAGUUGCCAGAGGCAUGCGGACUGGAGACCUGAAGGGUGGAUUGGAGUGUGUUAGGGAAAGCGCCCGUAAGGAGAUGUGUGACCCACGGGCUAGAUGAGCACAAAGAGCGGCAGGGAAAAGGGCUGCAGUUCCCGCCCUAAGGAGGAGGAGGAUGGGGUGGGUGGCUGAGACAGUUCCAGGAAGAACCCCAGCCAUGGUUUCCCUGCACGCCCCUCCCCCAAGCCCUGGGGCCUGGCACAGUGGGCACUCUGUAAAGGACCAGUCAAUGGAGUGUCUCGGUGGCCUCCACAAGGCAGCCCUGCAGUCCAGCUGGAUUAACCCCGGUUUCCCUCCUCCUUGAUCUUGGGUGGCAGACGUGAUGCUUGUUACCCCAUCCACAUAUGGGAAACUGUGGCACAGUGACCUGCUAAAGGCACAGGCUAACAGGAGAAGCCAGGCCUAGAUUAUGUUCCUCCCUCAGCCAUGGGGUAGGGUAGGGGCAGAGCCUGCCCUGCCUCAGGCCUGUGGCAGUGUGCUUCCUGCUCUUCCACCCUAAAAGCUGUUGGUCACUGUGGCACUGGAGUCCGUCUUGCCAUGUGCCUCUCUGCACACACAGAUGAUAAAUGAUUGCAUUGGUCUUAAUAGUUUCUGGAUUAUCAUUAAACUUUCCAAGACUUUCAUAGAACUUGGCUCCACAUACUCAGCUGGUAUCCUAGAGACAAUGAGGCUGUCCCUGCCACCGCCUCCACUGCCUGGCAGGUGGAGUGCACAUGAGAGAUACCACCUGCCUCCACUGGGUGCUGGUGGUCCUUUGUCUACCUGCCAGUGUCUUGGCCCCACGUCCAACCACACCUUUGCAGCCUUAUCAAGCCUGUCCAAGUUUUCCAGGGCCCACCCCAACACAGCAGUGCACACACCCUUCAGACUGACCCAAACCGCCAGCUCUGUAAAGCCCCCAGACUCACUGGCACCUCCGCUGAAUCCCUGAUGAGUCCAGGCCAAGCAUUGCUUUGCAAGAGAGCAGGUUGGGCCACCCUGCAGAUGACCCACCCAGCACAACCUCCUCAUCCUGCAGUUCUGGGCCAUCCCUCCUCCAGCCCCUCCAUUGCCAGUUGCUCUUUCAGCCUCCGCUGAGUCCCUGAGAGCUGGGAGUCUUGGCUGAGCUGAACUGGCCUCAAGAUAUUGGUGGAGCCAUGUUAAAGCCUUGGGCCCUUUGAGGGUCCUAACCAGGGAGGCCAGGGUUGAGCUGGGCAGAGGGCACAGCCAGGAGCUGCCCUCCUGGGAGAGACUGGAGAUUGGAUUUCUCAGUAGUGCCAGAGGCCAGCUGGAGCCUCCUCCUGCCAGCUGGCAGGGGAGGAAGGGGGACAGG
rnacentral:lncRNA from 1 species